UAACGAUCGGAGAACUGUCUCAACGAAGAGCUCGGUGAAAAUGCGAUUCCCGUGAAGACGCGGGAUACCUGCAAUGGGACGAAAAGACCCCAGAAGCUUUACUGUAGUUUGGUAUUGGCUUUAAAAAUUAGAUGCGUAGCGUAGUGGUGAGGAUUCGAAGUCCGCCUUUCGGGGCGGAUGGAUCCGACAAUGAAACAGCCAUCUUUUGAUUUUUAAAUUCUAACCUGCCACGCAAAACGUGGUGGAGACAGUGCCUGAUUGGCAGUUUUAAUGGGGCAUUACCCUCCUAAAGAGUAAUGGAGGGGUUUAUUAAGGUCGGCUUNNNNNNNNNNNNNNNNNNNCUGGACGCGUAAAGGCAAAAGCCGGCUUAACUGCAAGACUGACAAGUCGAGCAGAUGCGAAAGCAGAACUUAGUGACCCGACAAUCCUUCGUAGAAAGGUUGGAGACAUCGGACAAAAGUUACUCUGGGGAUAACAGGCUAGUUUGGUCCGAGAGUUCCUAUCGACGACCAAGCUCGGCACCUCGAUGUCGGCUCAUCCUAGCGCCCCGCUGGAGAAGGUGGGAAGCGUAUGGCUGUUCGCCAUUUAAAAGGAUACGUGAGCUGGGUUCAAACCGUC
rnacentral:rRNA from 1 species